rnacentral:rRNA from 1 species
AAAUUGAAGAGUUUGAUCAUGGCUCAGAUUGAACGCUGGCGGCAGGCCUAACACAUGCAAGUCGAACGGUAACAGGAAGCAGCUUGCUGCUUCGCUGACGAGUGGCGGACGGGUGAGUAAUGUCUGGGAAACUGCCUGAUGGAGGGGGAUAACUACUGGAAACGGUGGCUAAUACCGCAUAACGUCGCAAGACCAAAGAGGGGGACCUUCGGGCCUCUUGCCAUCAGAUGUGCCCAGAUGGGAUUAGCUUGUUGGUGAGGUAACGGCUCACCAAGGCGACGAUCCCUAGCUGGUCUGAGAGGAUGACCAGCCACACUGGAACUGAGACACGGUCCAGACUCCUACGGGAGGCAGCAGUGGGGAAUAUUGCACAAUGGGCGCAAGCCUGAUGCAGCCAUGCCGCGUGUAUGAAGAAGGCCUUCGGGUUGUAAAGUACUUUCAGCGGGGAGGAAGGUGUUGUGGUUAAUAACCGCAGCAAUUGACGUUACCCGCAGAAGAAGCACCGGCUAACUCCGUGCCAGCAGCCGCGGUAAUACGGAGGGUGCAAGCGUUAAUCGGAAUUACUGGGCGUAAAGCGCACGCAGGCGGUCUGUCAAGUCGGAUGUGAAAUCCCCGGGCUCAACCUGGGAACUGCAUUCGAAACUGGCAGGCUUGAGUCUUGUAGAGGGGGGUAGAAUUCCAGGUGUAGCGGUGAAAUGCGUAGAGAUCUGGAGGAAUACCGGUGGCGAAGGCGGCCCCCUGGACAAAGACUGACGCUCAGGUGCGAAAGCGUGGGGAGCAAACAGGAUUAGAUACCCUGGUAGUCCACGCCGUAAACGAUGUCUACUUGGAGGUUGUGCCCUUGAGGCGUGGCUUCCGGAGCUAACGCGUUAAGUAGACCGCCUGGGGAGUACGGCCGCAAGGUUAAAACUCAAAUGAAUUGACGGGGGCCCGCACAAGCGGUGGAGCAUGUGGUUUAAUUCGAUGCAACGCGAAGAACCUUACCUGGUCUUGACAUCCACAGAACUUUCCAGAGAUGGAUUGGUGCCUUCGGGAACUGUGAGACAGGUGCUGCAUGGCUGUCGUCAGCUCGUGUUGUGAAAUGUUGGGUUAAGUCCCGCAACGAGCGCAACCCUUAUCCUUUGUUGCCAGCGAUUAGGCGGGAACUCAAAGGAGACUGCCAGUGAUAAACUGGAGGAAGGUGGGGAUGACGUCAAGUCAUCAUGGCCCUUACGACCAGGGCUACACACGUGCUACAAUGGCGCAUACAAAGAGAAGCGACCUCGCGAGAGCAAGCGGACCUCAUAAAGUGCGUCGUAGUCCGGAUUGGAGUCUGCAACUCGACUCCAUGAAGUCGGAAUCGCUAGUAAUCGUGGAUCAGAAUGCCACGGUGAAUACGUUCCCGGGCCUUGUACACACCGCCCGUCACACCAUGGGAGUGGGUUGCAAAAGAAGUAGGUAGCUUAACCUUCGGGAGGGCGCUUACCACUUUGUGAUUCAUGACUGGGGUGAAGUCGUAACAAGGUAACCGUAGGGGAACCUGCGGUUGGAUCACCUCCUUACCUUAAAG